CCCCUCUCAGGGUCGCACCUGGAGAGUUUCCAGUACUUCUACCAGUCUUGGCUACAGGAGGGAGAGUCAAGCAGAGGCCUGUUCAUUCCAUUCCUAGCUUGGGCAGAGGCUAGUGAGUGGAAGGCAAUCUCCUAUAUGU
rnacentral:snoRNA from 1 species